AAUAAGCAACCCAUUCAAGAAAAUCCUGUCAUAGCAUAGCAAUGAUAUUCAUAGUACAAGUUUGAUUUCACGACAACCAUCAAUGAAAAGAAUGGACCUUGAGCCUAACUCAACCCCAAAAGCUAGCUUAUGAGGUGAGGAUUGCUCAAGCCAUAUAAGGAGACCAAGGACCUCAAAUCCAUCCGAUGUGGGACAACUCAACAAUCAAAGGCAAAUCCAAAUCCCUUCUCCUUGAUGAAAAAUGGUAGCAGCAAGGAGUGAUAUAUCUGUCAUUCAUGUUUCAAUGAUUUCACUUAGGAAUAAACAAAGGCCAAAGAACCAACAAAUACACAAGUGGCUUUUUGGCAACCAUAACCACACCAUGUCUCCAAGUUGAUUUAGGCUAUUGUUUUAAUGGAAUUUAAAGCACACACCUAUUGACUCCACAGCCAUAAAAAAA
rnacentral:lncRNA from 1 species